rnacentral:rRNA from 1 species
AACGAACGCUGGCGGCAUGACUAACACAUGCAAGUCGAACGAGAUCUUCGGGUCUAGUGGCGCACGGGUGCGUAACGCGUGGGAAUCUGCCCUUUGGUUCGGAAUAACAGUUGGAAACGACUGCUAAUACCGGAUGAUGACGAAAGUCCAAAGAUUUAUCGCCAGAGGAUGAGCCCGCGUAGGAUUAGCUAGUUGGUGUGGUAAAGGCGCACCAAGGCGACGAUCCUUAGCUGGUCUGAGAGGAUGAUCAGCCACACUGGGACUGAGACACGGCGCAGACUCCUACGGGAGGCAGCAGUGGGGAAUAUUGGACAAUGGGCGAAAGCCUGAUCCAGCAAUGCAGCGUGAGUGAUGAAGGCCUUAGGGUUGUAAAGCUCUUUUACCCGGGAUGAUAAUGACAGUACCGGGAGAAUAAGCUCCGGCUAACUCCGUGCCAGCCGCCGCCGUAA